UGGGCGGUGUGUGGUAAGGGAAAUGGAUUUUGUAAUUUUAUUUUCUUUCUCUUGUGGUAAAAGUGUCAUCCGUUCGAUUCUUAAGAUAUUGUCUUUUCGGUUUGGCUUAGUUUUGGAUGUCAGAUCAUUUCCGUGGUAUGACUCUAUUUAGAUGAGGAUCGGGUAAUACGUACUCCUUUGGCGAUUUGAAGUGUUUCGGGAACUGACU
rnacentral:lncRNA from 1 species